GAGUUUGAUUCUGGCUCAGAACGAACGCUAGCGGUAUGCUUAACACAUGCAAGUCGAACGAGAAAGCUUCUUCGGAAGCGAUUAAAGUGGCGCACGGGUGAGUAACACGUAGAUAACCUACCCUGAAGACUGGGACAACCCUGUGAAAAUAGGGCUAAUACCAGAUAAGAGUUUUUUUCAUAAGGAAAAGACUUAAAAGUUCAGGCGCUUUAGGAUGGGUCUGCGCUCCAUUAGCUAGUUGGUGAGGUAAGAGCUCACCAAGGCGACGAUGGAUAGCGGGUUUGAGAGGAUGAUCCGCCACACUGGCACUGAGACACGGGCCAGACUCCUACGGGAGGCAGCAGUGGGGAAUAUUGCGCAAUGGGGGCAACCCUGACGCAGCAAUACCGCGUGAGUGAAGAAGGCCUUCGGGUCGUAAAGCUCUUUAUCUCAGGGAAGAUAAUGACGUUACCUGAGGAAUAAGCACCGGCUAACUACGUGCCAGCAGCCGCGGUAAUACGUAGGGUGCAAGCGUUGUUCGGAAUUACUGGGCGUAAAGGGCGUGCAGGCUGGAGAGCAAGCUAUAGGUGAAAUCCUAGAGCUCAACUUUAGAAGUGCUUAUAGAACUGCUUUUCUAGAGACAAUCAGAGGUUAGCGGAAUUCCUGGUGUAGAGGUGAAAUUCGUAGAUAUCAGGAGGAACACCGGCGGCGAAAGCGGCUAACUGGGGUUGAUCUGACGCUGAGGCGCGAAAGCAUGGUUAGCAAACAGGAUUAGAUACCCUGGUAGUCCAUGCUGUAAACGAUGAAUACUAGGUAUAUGGCCAUUAGGCUGUGUGUCGCAGCUAACGCAUUAAGUAUUCCGCCUGGGGAGUACGGUCGCAAGACUAAAACUCAAAGGAAUUGACGGGGGCCCGCACAAGCGGUGGAGCAUGUGGUUUAAUUCGAUGCAACGCGAAGAACCUUACCUGGAUUUGACAUCCUGUGCUACUUUCAGAGAUGAGAGGUUCUCUUCGGAGACACAGAGACAGGUGCUGCAUGGCUGUCGUCAGCUCGUGUCGUGAGAUGUUGGGUUAAGUCCCGCAACGAGCGCAACCCCUAUUGCUAGUUGCCAUCAGUUUGGCUGGGCACUCUAGUGAGACUGCCGGUGAUAAGCCGGAGGAAGGUGGGGAUGACGUCAAGUCCUCAUGGCCUUUAUAUCCAGGGCUACACACGUGCUACAAUGGGCGCUACAAAGAGCAGCAAGACGGAGACGUGGAGCCAAUCUCAAAAAGGCGCUCUCAGUUCGGAUUGCAGUCUGCAACUCGACUGCAUGAAGUUGGAAUCGCUAGUAAUCGCGGAUCAGCAUGCCGCGGUGAAUACGCUCCCGGGCCUUGUACACACCGCCCGUCACACCAUGGGAGUGGAUUGCACCAGAAGUAGCUAGCUUAACCUUCGGGAGGGCGGUUACCACGGUGUGGUUCAUGACUGGGGUGAAGUCGUAACAAGGUAGC
rnacentral:rRNA from 1 species